GGGCUUGUGGUUUAGUGGUAUAAUACUCCCUUAGCAGGAACGAUCCAAUGUUUAACGUUGUAUCUUGUGAUAACUUCGUUUCGAGGAUUCGUCUGAUCUGGGAGUGGUCCGGGGUUCGAUUCCCCGCGAGUCCA